GGGGAAUAUUGCACAAUGGGCGAAAGCCUGAUGCAGCGACGCCGCGUGAGGGAUGACGGCCUUCGGGUUGUAAACCUCUUUCAGCAGGGAAGAAGCGAAAGUGACGGUACCUGCAGAAGAAGCGCCGGCUAACUACGUGCCAGCAGCCGCGGUAAUACGUAGGGCGCAAGCGUUGUCCGGAAUUAUUGGGCGUAAAGAGCUCGUAGGCGGUUAGUCGCGUCUGCUGUGAAAACUCGAGGCUCAACCUCGGGCUUGCAGUGGGUACGGGCUGACUGGAGGGGGGUGGGGGGGACGGAAUUGCCGGGUGAGGCGGGGGAAUGCGCAGAUAUCAGGAGGAAAACCGAUGGCGAAGGAAGGUAAUGGGGCCGCAACGGACGCUGAGGAGGGAAAGCAUGGGGAGCGAACA
rnacentral:rRNA from 1 species